ACAGCCGUGCUUCCCCUUCCUUGCUUCACCGCCUUAUUCUGCUGCUCUGCUUUCCAGAUCCCUCUCUGAGAUGGCCUCGUCCAAAACUUCCGUUCACGACUUCACCGUUAAGGAUGCUAGAGGGAAUGAGGUGGAUCUGAGCACAUACAAGGAUAAGGUGCUUCUCAUUGUCAAUGUUGCAUCUCAAUGUGGGUUGACUAACUCUAAUUACACUGAGCUGAGCCAGUUGUAUGAGAAGUACAAGGGCCAAGGUUUUGAGAUUCUGGCUUUUCCCUGCAAUCAGUUUGGAGCGCAAGAGCCUGGAACCAAUGAAGAGAUUGUAGAAUUUGCUUGCACCCGCUUCAAAGCGGAGUACCCCAUCUUUGAUAAGGUCGAUGUGAAUGGGGACAGUGCCGCCCCCAUCUACAAGUUCCUCAAGUCCAGCAAAGGCGGCCUCUUUGGCGAUAGCAUCAAGUGGAACUUCUCCAAGUUCCUUGUUGACAAACAAGGCCAUGUCGUCGACCGCUACGCGCCGACCACCUCUCCACUGAGCAUCGAGAAGGACAUCAAGAAGCUGCUGUGAACAUGGAUACCAAAGAGUGGAUGAUAAUAAUAAUAAAAAGCAGUUUUGAUAGGAGAACUUUAGCGUUGCUCUCUGAGUCUGCUUGCAGCUAAAACUUUCAGGUGUACCCUGGAUCUACUGUUUGCAUGGUUGUAGUUUUAUCGAUGACUAAAUACGAUGUUUGUACUCUUACUUAUUUACCA
rnacentral:misc_RNA from 1 species